rnacentral:rRNA from 1 species
GACAGAGGGUGCAAACGUUGUUCGGAAUUACUGGGCGUAAAGCGCGUGUAGGCGGCAGCGCAAGUCGGAUGUGAAAUCCCAUGGCUCAACCAUGGAAGUGCACCCGAAACUGCGUCGCUAGAGUCCUGGAGAGGAAGGUGGAAUGCUUGGUGUAGAGGUGAAAUUCGUAGAUAUCAAGCGGAACACCGGUGGCGAAGGCGGCCUUC